GCAAUCAAAUGGUGUUGUUGCACA
rnacentral:siRNA from 1 species